GACGAACCGUGCGAACGUUGUUCGGAAUCACUGGGCUUAAAGGGCGCGUAGGCGGCUUCGCAAGUCCGGGGUGAAAGCCCCCAGCUCAACUGGGGAAGUGCCUUGGAUACUGCGGGGCUCGAGGGAGGUAGGGGUGUGUGGAACUUCCGGUGGAGCGGUGAAAUGCGUUGAUAUCGGAAGGAACGCCGGUGGCGAAGGCGGCACUCUGGGCCAGUACUGACGCUGAGGAGCGAAAGCGUGGGGAGCGAACAGG
rnacentral:rRNA from 1 species